rnacentral:rRNA from 1 species
UACGUAGGGGACCAGCGUUGUCCGGAUUUACUGGGCGUAAAGAGCGCGCAGGCGGUCGUUCAAGUCGAGUGUGAAAGCCCCCGGCUCAACUGGGGAGGGUCAUUCGAUACUGAUCGACUCGAAGGCAGGAGAGGGAAGCGGAAUUCCAGGUGUAGCGGUGAAAUGCGUAGAGAUCUGGAGGAAUACCGAUGGCGAAGGCAGCCUUCUGGCCUAAUACUGACGCUGAGGUGCGAAAGCAUGGGGAGCAAACAGG